rnacentral:rRNA from 1 species
GAUGAACGCUGGCGGCGUGCUUAACACAUGCAAGUCGAACGAUGAAGCUCAGCUUGCUGGGUGGAUUAGUGGCGAACGGGUGAGUAACACGUGAGUAACCUGCCCUUAACUCUGGGAUAAGCCUGGGAAACUAGGUCUAAUACCGGAUAGGAGCGUCCACCGCAUGGUGGGUGUUGGAAAGAUUUAUCGGUUUUGGAUGGACUCGCGGCCUAUCAGCUUGUUGGUGAGGUAAUGGCUCACCAAGGCGACGACGGGUAGCCGGCCUGAGAGGGUGACCGGCCACACUGGGACUGAGACACGGCCCAGACUCCUACGGGAAGCAGCAGUGGGGAAUAUUGCACAAUGGGCGAAAGCCUGAUGCAGCGACGCCGCGUGAGGGAUGACGGCCUUCGGGUUGUAAACCUCUUUCAGUAGGGAAGAAGCGAAAGUGACGGUACCUGCAGAAGAAGCACCGGCUAACUACGUG